rnacentral:rRNA from 1 species
AGUGAAGAAGGUUUUCGGAUCGUAAAACUCUGUUGGUAGAGAAGAACGUUGGUGAGAGUGGAAAGCUCAUCAAGUGACGGUAACUACCCAGAAAGGGACGGCUAACUACGUGCCAGCAGCCGCGGUAAUACGUAGGUCCCGAGCGUUGUCCGGAUUUAUUGGGCGUAAAGCGAGCGCAGGUGGUUUAUUAAGUCUGGUGUAAAAGGCAGUGGCUCAACCAUUGUAUGCAUUGGAAACUGGUAGACUUGAGUGCAGGAGAGGAGAGUGGAAUUCCAUGU